CGAGCGAAGCAGGCAUAGCUCAAAUUUGUAAUCUGGCGCCUUUGGCGUCCGAGUUGUAUUUUCUAGAAGCGAGUUCGGCGACAGCUCCUACCCAAGUCCGUUGGAACGCGGCGUCAUGGAGGGUGAGAAUCCCGUGAAUGGUAGGAUGUCUGCUGCUAUGUGAACCGCCUUCGAAGAGUCGAGUUGUUUGGGAAUGCAGCUCUAAAUGGGAGGUAAAUUUCUUCUAAAGCUAAAUAUUGGCCAGAGACCGAUAGCGAACAAGUAGAGUGAUCGAAAGAUGAAAAGAACUUUGAAAAGAGAGUUAAACAGUACGUGAAAUUGUUGAAAGGGAAGCGCUUGAGAUCAGACUUCCUGUCUGGACUGUCCUUGCUUUUGCUUGGGUCAACAGUCCAGGCGUGGAGGCCAGCAUCAGUUUUGACGGCCGGAUAAAGGCCUUGGGAAGGUAGCUCCUCUCGGGGAGUGUUAUAGCCCAGGGUGUAAUACGGCCAGUUGGGACUGAGGACCGCGGCUUUGCCUAGGAUG
rnacentral:rRNA from 1 species